AAGAGAAGUAUCCUCAGCAUCCAUUGUUGCCAAAAGAUCUUCAGAAAAGGGCUCUCAAUUACCAGACUGCAAAUUUGGUUUCUGCAAACAUACAACCUCUCCAGAAUUUACCUGUCCUCGGAUAUAUUAAUGAAAAAACUUGGUCCUGACGAGGAAAUUCCUUGGGCUCAAACUCAUAUACGAAAAGGCUUUGCAGGUAAGCAUUGUCCUUAGUGCCCUUUCUUUGAAGAAAGAAAAUAAAUGUUAG